AAAAGAAGAAAAACUACUCACUCUUAAGUAAGAGAGACAGGCUAGUUCGGGCUGACUAUUCCGGAACUCGCUCUGCAGGCCAGUCUGCCUCUUCCUCCCCAGUCCUGGGAGAUUAAAGUCCAGAGAAGGAAAUUUCAACCUAGAUUUCAUC